AGGAAUAUUGGUCAAUGGACGAGAGUCUGAACCAGCCAAGUAGCGUGAAGGAUGAAGGUUCUAUGGAUUGUAAACUUCUUUUAUACGGGAAUAAACGGAUCCACGUGUGGAUCUUUGCAUGUACCGUAUGAAUAAGGAUCGGCUAACUCCGUGCCAGCAGCCGCGGUAAUACGGAGGAUCCGAGCGUUAUCCGGAUUUAUUGGGUUUAAAGGGAGCGUAGAUGGGUUGUUAAGUCAGUUGUGAAAGUUUGCGGCUCAACCGUAAAAUUGCAAUUGAUACUGGCAGUCUUGAGUACAGUUGAGGUAGGCGGAAUUCGUGGUGUAGCGGUGAAAUGCUUAGAUAUCACGAAGAACUCCGAUUGCGAAGGCAGCUUACUAACCUGUAACUGACAUUGAUGCUCGAAAGUGUGGGUAUCAAACAG
rnacentral:rRNA from 1 species